UAGGGAAUAUUGCUUAAUGGGCGAAAGCCUGAAGCAGCAACGCCGCGUGCACGAUGAAGGUCUUCGGAUCGUAAAGUGCUUUUUUAGAGGAUGAGGAAGGACAGUACUCUAAGAAUAAGCCUCGGCUAACUACGUGCCAGCAGCCGCGGUAAAACGUAGGAGGCGAGCGUUAUCCGGAUUUACUGGGCGUAAAGCGUGUGCAGGUGGUUUGGUAAGUUGGAUGUGAAAGCUCCUGGCUUAACUGGGAGAGGUCGUUCAAUACUGCCAGACUUGAGAGUGAGAGAGGGAGGUGGAAUUCCGGGUGUAGUGGUGAAAUGCGUAGAUAUCCGGAGGAACACCAGUGGCGAAAGCGGCCUCCUGGCUCAUUCCUAACACUCAUACACGAAAGCUAGGGUAGUAAACGG
rnacentral:rRNA from 1 species